GGGUUGUGAGGUUAAGCGACUAAGCGUACACGGUGGAUGCCCUGGCAGUCAGAGGCGAUGAAGGACGUGCUAAUCUGCGAAAAGCGCCGGCGAGGUGAUAUGAACCCUUGACCCGGCGAUGUCCGAAUGGGGAAACCCAGUGCAAUUCGUUGCACUAUCGUUAACUGAAUACAUAGGUUAACGAGGCGAACCGGGGGAACUGAAACAUCUAAGUACCCCGAGGAAAAGAAAUCAACCGAGAUUCCCCCAGUAGCGGCGAGCGAACGGGGAGCAGCCCGGAGUCUGAAUCAGCUUGUGUGUUAGUGGAACGGUCUGGAAAGUCCGACGGUACAGGGUGAUAGUCCCGUACACGAAAACACACUUGCUGUGAACUCGAAGAGUAGGGCGGGACACGUGGUAUCCUGUCUGAAUAUGGGGGGACCAUCCUCCAAGGCUAAAUACUCCUGACUGACCGAUAGUGAACCAGUACCGUGAGGGAAAGGCGAAAAGAACCCCGGCGAGGGGAGUGAAAAAGAACCUGAAACCGUGUACGUACAAGCAGUGGGAGCCUCUUUAUGGGGUGACUGCGUACCUUUUGUAUAAUGGGUCAGCGACUUAUAUUCUGUAGCAAGGUUAACCGUAUAGGGGAGCCGAAGGGAAACCGAGUCUUAACUGGGCGUUAAGUUGCAGGGUAUAGACCCGAAACCCGGUGAUCUAGCCAUGGGCAGGUUGAAGGUUGGGUAACACUAACUGGAGGACCGAACCGACUAAUGUUGAAAAAUUAGCGGAUGACCUGUGGCUGGGGGUGAAAGGCCAAUCAAACCGGGAGAUAGCUGGUUCUCCCCGAAAGCUAUUUAGGUAGCGCCUCGUGAACUCAUCUUCGGGGGUAGAGCACUGUUUCGGCUAGGGGGCCAUCCCGGCUUACCAACCCGAUGCAAACUACGAAUACCGAAGAAUGUUAUCACGGGAGACACACGGCGGGUGCUAACGUCCGUCGUGAAGAGGGAAACAACCCAGACCGCCAGCUAAGGUCCCAAAGUCAUGGUUAAGUGGGAAACGAUGUGGGAAGGCACAGACAGCCAGGAUGUUGGCUUAGAAGCAGCCAUCAUUUAAAGAAAGCGUAAUAGCUCACUGGUCGAGUCGGCCUGCGCGGAAGAUGUAACGGGGCUAAACCAUGCACCGAAGCUGCGGCAGCGACACUAUGUGUUGUUGGGUAGGGGAGCGUUCUGUAAGCCGUUGAAGGUGUGCUGUGAGGCAUGCUGGAGGUAUCAGAAGUGCGAAUGCUGACAUAAGUAACGAUAAAGCGGGUGAAAAGCCCGCUCGCCGGAAGACCAAGGGUUCCUGUCCAACGUUAAUCGGGGCAGGGUGAGUCGACCCCUAAGGCGAGGCCGAAAGGCGUAGUCGAUGGGAAACAGGUUAAUAUUCCUGUACUUGGUGUUACUGCGAAGGGGGGACGGAGAAGGCUAUGUCAGCCGGGCGACGGUUGUCCCGGUUUAAGCAUGUAGGCGGAGGUUCCAGGUAAAUCCGGUACCUUAUUAACGCUGAGGUGUGAUGACGAGGCACUACGGUGCUGAAGUGAUAAAUGCCCUGCUUCCAGGAAAAGCCUCUAAGCAUCAGGUAACACGAAAUCGUACCCCAAACCGACACAGGUGGUCAGGUAGAGAAUACCAAGGCGCUUGAGAGAACUCGGGUGAAGGAACUAGGCAAAAUGGUGCCGUAACUUCGGGAGAAGGCACGCUGAUAGGUAGGUGAAGCCCCUGCGGGCGGAGCUGAAAUCAGUCGAAGAUACCAGCUGGCUGCAACUGUUUAUUAAAAACACAGCACUGUGCAAACACGAAAGU
rnacentral:rRNA from 1 species